UCACUGGUGAUUCAGUGGUAGAAUUCUUGCCUUCCAUGCAAGAGAUUUGGUUUCUAUUCCUGGUCAGUGCG
rnacentral:tRNA from 1 species